rnacentral:rRNA from 1 species
GAUGAACGCUGGCGGUAUGCCUAACACAUGCAAGUCGUACGAGAGUUUUUAACUCAAGUGGCGGACGGGUGAGUAACACGUGAGAAUUUACCUUUAGGAGGGGGAUAACAGUUGGAAACGAUUGCUAAUACCCCAUAUGCUUCCGAGUGAAAUAGAUUUAUCUGCCUAAAGAGAAGCUCGCGGCUGAUCAGCUUGUUGGUAAGGUAAUGGCUUACCAAGGCGACGAUCAGUAUCUGGUUUGAGAGGACGAUCAGACACACUGGAACUGAGACACGGUCCAGACUCCUACGGGAGGCAGCAGUGGGGAAUUUUCCGCAAUGGGCGAAAGCCUGACGGAGCAAUACCGCGUGAGGGAAGACGGCCUAUGGGUUGUAGACCUCUUUUUUCAGGGAGGAAAAAAAUGACGUGUACCUGAAGAAUAAGCAUCGGCUAACUCCGUGCCAGCAGCCGCGGUAAGACGGAGGAUGCAAGUGUUAUCCGGAAUCACUGGGCGUAAAGCGUCUGUAGGUGGUUUAAUAAGUCAACUGUUAAAUCUUGAGGCUUAACUUCAAAACUGCAGUCGAAACUAUUAGACUAG